AACAAAAUAAGUUUACUUAAAUUCAAUAUACUUAGCAUUUAUUCAUGAUAUCACAUCUUUAUAGUACUCAAAGAUCUAAUUUAUUUUUUUACUUAGCCAUUUUUACACGUAAUUUACGAAAGGUUUUUGUUAUGAUAUCACUCAUUUUUAACAUCUAUGCGAAUAAUAAUAAUAAUAAUAAAGAAUUAUUAUCUUUGGCAACGACAACGCUAGAAACGGCUGCCGUGAUUCUGAGCCUAAAAUCAUAAGCUGUUAAUUUGAAAUUUGAAUAAGUUCAAUAACAAUAUUAUUGUAAAUUCCAACAAUUUGUUGUUCUGACGUCUGACGUACUGAGUACUGAAUGUCUAACCCAGCGGUUCCCAACCUGAGGGUAAUUACCCCACAAGGGGUAAAACACAAAUUUUUAAGGGGGUAAAGACUAUUUUUUUAUGAACUUUAUAUCUAUAAUAAUUAACUCUGCAUCAGUCAUAUGUAAUCCAACAGUAAAAGUAAUUGUAAUAAUAUAAUUGUUGUUAAUAGUCUUGGGAUAGUUUUAGAUUAGGUACAUUAUUUUAUGUCCUAACUCCUAAUGCCACUUAUAAUUGUAUUACUUUCAAAUAAUAUUUAUAUAUUGUUUCUGUUAUUUUUUGGGAGGGAGGGGUAAUUCUUAAUAUCUAACCUGAUUUAUGGGUUAAAGUCUCAAAAAGGUUGGGAACCGCUGGUCUAACCGUUCUGUUCUGUACUUCAUCAGUCUUCGGUAUUUUAUUUCAUUUUAUUUUUUUAGGCAAGUGUUUUAAUAUUAUAAAGAUGAGAACCAGUCAAAAAAUAAACGGCAGAGAGGUAAAAACUUUACUGAUCGGGAAAAAGAUUUAUUAAUUGACUUGCGAUAUUUCCUUUCAAGUCAAUUAUUGAAAAUAUUAAACCGGAGGAUCAUUGUUUAUAACAACCCCAAAUAGAACAACUUUCCAUGGUCAAGUGUAAAAGUGAUAGGAGAAACAUUUGAUUUUAUUCCAAAAGGUAUGUAUAAAUGGGAAAAAUUGAUAUGUCCUCACAAAUUGCUGUCUAUUUUAGAAAUAAAUUGUAAAUGUGAUACUAUUUAAAAUAAUGGACUAUCGUAUAAUCCUUUUACAAACCGAUGGAGUUGGACUGACUGAACUGAUGUAUCAUAUAUUCAUAUGCCAUACAUGCAGUGAAAAGUACAUAGCUAGUAGCUAUCACCUGCCAUUAACUGUUACUUUGUGUUAACCACUGUCCAUUAUAUUAUAUUAUGAUGUCUCAAUAUUUGUUACAAUAAUAGUACUAUUAAGUUAUAAUUUAAUAAUUCAAUUUAUUUUUAUUUUUUGAUUAUUAGAUAUGCUAAAAAACUUUUUUACCAUCAUCUAAACAUUAUCAUCUUAUGUGAAUGUUAUUUUUCUUGAAUUAUCUAAAUAAUGUGUUUUUAAAGAGCAAUAAAUGCAUAGAGUUAAUAUCUAUAUA